UACAGAGGGUGCGAGCGUUAAUCGGAAUUACUGGGCGUAAAGCGCACGUAGGCGGCCAACUAAGUCGGAUGUGAAAUCCCCAGGCUCAACUUGGGAACUGCAUCCGAUACUGGAUGGCUUGAAUUCGGGAGAGGGAUGCAGAAUUCCAGGUGUAGCGGUGAAAUGCGUAGAUAUCUGGAGGAAUACCGGUGGCGAAGGCGGCAUCCUGGACCGACAUUGACGCUGAGGAGCGAAAGCUAGGGGAGCAAACGGG
rnacentral:rRNA from 1 species